rnacentral:lncRNA from 1 species
UUUCAAUGCUCCACUUCAUUCAUUCCUUGACAUUCACUCCACAUGCAAUGAGUUACAUAGUUGUGUACCUGGAAUCGAAAUGGAAAUAGGGUAGAAGAGAUCAGUUACAGCAGCAGCCAAUAGCAACAAUAACACCCAGCAACACAAGGAUGAUUUCCAGAGAUUUUAACUGAAACACACAUCAACAACAAUAACUUUCAAGCAGACUCCAAAUGACAGCCCAGGAAAAUUCACCAGCUAAUGAAUGCCUCAAAACAACACCAGACUCGACAGAUCUGCCCCAGACAAUACUAAAAAUGACCAGAAUCCAACCAAACAAGCUCAAGCAACCCAAAUUCACUCCAAAAUGAAUCCAAACCAAGAAGAAUAUACCAGCAACCAAUGGAACAGUGUUCCUUGUAGCCUUUUUUUGGUUUUUCAGAGAUUUUUCUACUGUUUUUGAGUUUUUACUCUUUUUUGUUUCUUUUUUUUUUUGGAAAUCAAAGGCUAAAAAAAUAACUAGAAUGCAAGAGUAUUUAUGAACUAAUGAUCUAAACAAUGGCUAAAAAUAUGGCUGAAAGAAGACCCUUUUUACAAGGCAUCUAAUGCCUUUUUGUAGAAGUAAAGUAGGGCAGCCCUCUCAAAUUUUUGUUUUCAGUAUUACUCCCUAUUCAUUUUUCACUUUAACUCCCCAUUUUCUGAUUUGUUUCCCAAGUAACUACCUUAAUUUUAUUGAAAGCUACACUACAGCCCUAUUCUAGGAGCUUCUAUGAGGUUUUUUGAGCUGUACAAUUCCUAGACUACCCUUAACCCUUCCUUUCAAUUACUGAUUCUCAAUAUUCUACCCUUUCUCAUGCCCAAAUUGCCCCCAUUACCAUCUGAAAAUUACAAACCUUAAUUAACUUAAACCAAACCCUUUUUACCCUUAUUAAUUAACUAAAGUUAUCUACUAAAGAAUUAAACAUCUAUAUCCAAACUUGAAUCUAAUUAAACAUUUGCUAGUCAACACUAAUUUUCACUAAUUAAAUUGCCAACUAACAAAUCAAAUUACAAAUUGCAGUUAACAUCAAAUUAAUUCCAAAAGAACCAACAGGCGAAAGAAAAUCAACAAGAAAGAACCCUAAAUUUUCUGGAGUAACGACAAUCUAAUCUGGAUACUAGCUAAGCUAAGAAACUCACGCAAAUAAACCAAUCGAUCGACCAUUAAGGCCUCAUCAAAAGUCAAGAAAAAGACAAAACCCAAUUAAACUUAUUCUAAAUCAAAUCAGAAUUUAACAGAAGAAAUGAAGAAUCAACCUAAAACUAAAAUAACAUAGAUAAUUACCACAAUGAGAUUAAAACUAAAUAGAACUGCAGAGGUAACCUAUGCAAUAUGGAUGGAAAGGAAUACCAGGCUGUUCAACAACACAGCAAGAUGCAACUCCAACAUUCUGAGAGAGAUAGUAUAUAUAUGUAAUCUAAGAGGCACUCCACGAAUUAGACAAUACCUAGAACACCUUCAUAUAUAGAAAACGAAGCAAGAGGCACUCCACGAAUUAGAUAAUACCUAGAACACCUUCAUAUAUAGAAAAUGAAGACAGUGUAGUCCCAUUUUGUAGAGCAGUUUUUGAGUGAUGCCUUAAGAUAGUCAGCUUCGAGAAUAGCUAGACUACGAUUUUGUAAUGAUUUCCACUUUGGUGAUUAAUAAAUACUCUUAAUUACCAAAAAAAAAAAUUAGUUUAGGAGAUUUACAUAUAUUUUUCAUGUAGAAGUGAAUCACAUUGGUAAUUAAUACAUACUCUUAAUUACCAAAAAAAAACUAAAUAGAACUGAAUUUAUGCAUGAUUUAAACGAACAAGAAAAGAAGAAUCGAAUUAGAAAACUUACCGAAAUCAGACAUCAUAUAACCCUUUCAAAAUUGAUUUUCAGUUAAUAUUACAUGCUUAUUUCGCCAUACGAUGUUCGUAUGUUUGAGGAGGGUAUUACCAAUUCUACGGUGCGCGCAGGGGGGAUGACCCAUUUUAUUGAAGUUCCCUCAGAUUUGAACUUACUGACCGAAGGAAAUAGCUUGUUGUCGCUGUUUGAAUUGUUGGGUUUGGAGGCUGAGAACGCGUCUUUGAGGAGCAUUUCAGAUAUUGAAGUGAUGGAUGAAGUGUUUGUGAUGGGCCUGAGGGUACGUAGUAUGCUCCUAGUUCAUUUUUUUGUCUUAGCAUGGGCCUUAGCUAUAACUUCUUUUUGUUUUGC